GCAGGAUAGUGUUCAGUCCUAAUCACUGGAACCUGUGUAGACGUAACAAAGGGGAAUUUAGGCUGCAAAUCAACUGACCUUCAAAUAGAUUCACCUGGAUUAUCCAGGUGAGCCUGUUGUAAUCACAAGGUUGCUUAAAAGAGCCCCGGCCAGGACCGGUGGCUUACGCCUGUAAUCCCGGCACUUUGGGAGGCCGAGGCGGGCAGAUCUCCUGAGGUCAGGAGUUCAAGACCAGCCUGCCCAACACGGCGAAGUCCCGUCUCUACUGAAAAUACGAAAAAUUAGCCAGGAGUGAUGACGGGUGCCUGUAAUCCCAGCUACUCAGGAGGCUGAGGCAGGACAAUCACUUGAACCCGGGAGGCGGAGGUUGCAGUGAGCCAAGAUCACGCCACUGCACUCCAGCCUGCGCGACAGAGUGAAACUCUAUCUCAAAAAAAAAAAAAAAAAGCCCCAGGAGGAGGCGAGGAGAGAAGGAAGGCACCAGGUGCAAGUUGCUGACACCGAAGCUGGAGGAAGAAGCUCAGAGACAAGCGAAGUGGGGCACCUGUAGCCCAGGGAGUGGGCAAAGAAAUGGAUUCUCCCCCAGAGCCUCCACAAGGAGUGCAACCUUCCUCGAACUGAGCCUAGAAAUAUUUGGUGGUGGCAGGACAAAGAAGACAGAAGGUGGAGCUUGGCUUGUGAGGGCCGCAGGGCACGAGACCUGAGAGCAGAAAAUUGAUAAGCCAGCCAGCAAUCUAGGACACAAACCACAAAAUCAGAUUACCUUCUUGGGGACUUGAACUGGACACUUGGGGAUCAUGAACCAGUUGAAUCAAAAGCAGAAGGUGAUCUCAAUUAGCCACAAUUCUUCAAAUACAACUAUAUGCUGAAGAUUAUCCAUUUUAAAUCUCCAAGCCCUCUGCUGAAGUCCAGACUCACAUAUCCACACAGACUUGACUUCUCUACCUGGAUUUCUGUGAGGCAUUUCAAAUUCAACUUCAAAUUCUUGAUUUAUAUCUCCAAGUGUUAGGUCUUUUCCAUCUCAUAAUAUGACAACUCUAUUAUUUUAGUCAUUCAGGCUGAAAGUCUUGAAAUCAUCUUUGACUUCUGUCUUUCUCUUUCAAACCGCAUGUCAGCAAAUUCCAUUGUCUCAUUUUAAAAUAUACACAGCAUCUGACUGCUUUCCAUCUCAACCUAGUGUUUUGUUGCUAGCAAAUCCCAUCACCUCCACCUGAACACAGGCAGCAGCCACCUCGCCGCCUAUCCUCCUUUCGCAGAUGCUCCCUCAUGUCCGUGCACGGAGCCAGAGCAGCUCCUUUCUUUCUUUUUUUCUCUUUUUUUUUUGAGACGGAGUCUCGCUUUGUCGCCCAGGCUGGAGUGCAGUGGUGCGAUCUUGGCUCACUGCAAGCUCCGCCUCCCGGGUUCGCG
rnacentral:lncRNA from 1 species